GGGCCGUUAGCUCAGUUGGUAGAGCAACUGACUUUUAAUCAGUGGGUCGCUGGUUCGAAUCCAGCACGGCUCA
rnacentral:tRNA from 1 species